rnacentral:rRNA from 1 species
GGAAGGGGUGUAUUUAUUAGGUUCAAACCCGUCCUGUAGCAAUACAGAGCACUGUGGUGAUUCAUAGUAACUGUUCGGAUCUUGCUCUUUUUUCUGGGGCAAGACAGUUCAUUCAAAUUUCUGCCCUAUCAGCUUUCGACGGUAGUGUAGUGGACUACCGUGGCGUUUACGGGUAACGGGGAAUUAGGGUUCGAUUCCGGAGAGGGAGCCUGAGAAAUGGCUACCACAUCCAAGGAAGGCAGCAGGCGCGCAAAUUACCCACUCCUGACCCAGGGAGGUAGUGACAAGAAAUCCUGAUGCCGAGCGCCUUUGUUGUGUUUGGUAAUCGGAAUGAGAGGUAGUUAAAUCUCGCUAUCGAAAGCAACUGGAGGGCAAGUCUGGUGCCAGCAGCC